rnacentral:rRNA from 1 species
ACGUACGCUGGCGGCACGCCUAACACAUGCAAGUCGAACGAAGUAGCAAUACUUAGUGGCAGACGGGUGAGUAACGCGUGGGAAUAUACCCAGUUCUAAGGAAUAGCCACUGGAAACGGUGAGUAAUACCUUAUACGCCCUUCGGGGGAAAGAUUUAUCGGAAUUGGAUUAGCCCGCGUUAGAUUAGAUAGUUGGUGGGUAAUGGCCCACAAGUCUACGAUCUAUAGCUGGUUUGAGAGGAUGAUCAGCAACACUGGGACUGAGACACGGCCCAAACUCCUACGGGAGGCAGCAGUGGGGAAUCUUGC